GUGUAGCGGUGAAUGCGCAGAUAUCAGGAGGACACCAAUUGGGAAGCAGCUCGCUGGGACGUACUGACGCUGAGACGCGAAAGCGUGGGAGCAAACAGGAUUAGAUACCCUGGUAGUCCACGCUGUAAACGAUGGGCACUAGGUGUGGGGGGUGUCGACUCCCUCCGUGCCGAAGCUAACGCAUUAAGUGCCCCGCCUGGGGAGUACGGCCGCAAGGCUAAAACUCAAAGGAAUUGACGGGGGCCCGCACAAGCAGCGGAGCAUGUGGUUUAAUUCGACGCAACGCGAAGAACCUUACCUGGGCUUGACAUGUUCCUGACCGUCCUGGAAACAGGGCUUCCCUUCGGGGCAGGAUCACAGGUGGUGCAUGGCUGUCGUCAGCUCGUGUCGUGAGAUGUUGGGUUAAGUCCCGCAACGAGCGCAACCCCCGUCGCAUGUUGCCAGCAUUUAGUUGGGGACUCAUGCGAGACUGCCGGUGACAAACCGGAGGAAGGUGGGGAUGACGUCAAGUCAUCAUGCCCCUUAUGUCCAGGGCUACACACGUGCUACAUUGGCGCGUACAGAGGGCUGCGAUACCGCGAGGUGGAGCGAAUCCCUUAAAGCGCGUCUCGGUUCGGAUUGCAGGCUGAAACCCGCCUGCAUGAAGGCGGAGUUGCUAGUAAUCGCGGAUCAGCAUUGCCGCGGUGAAUACGUUCCCGGGCCUUGUACACACCGCCCGUCACACCAUGGAAGCAAGUAACACCCGAAGCCGGUGGCCUAACCCGCAAGGGAGGGAGCUGUCGAAGGUGGGACUCGUGACUGGGGUGAAGUCGUAACAAGGUAACCAAGGG
rnacentral:rRNA from 1 species